rnacentral:lncRNA from 1 species
UCUUCUCCCUCAGCGGUUAAACUCCUGUCUUUCUUCUGCUCAACUCCGAUGGUUAAUUAAUUAUCCCCUAAACUUGGAAGACUUAUAACAGAAAGAACUGAGAAAGUGCUUAUCACAAUAUUUAGCAGUUAGAGAAAAACAGCUCCAGCUAGAAGGGCAGAGGACAUACCUCUGCCCCUCGCCUUCAUCCCAGGGCUCUGGGGAACAGAACGCUUUUCAGAAGGGCGAGGACUGUGGGCACAAAUGCCCUCAGAGAGGAAAGGAAACGAGCUUGCAUUUCAUAUUCUUGAUGAUUCUAGAGCCUUUGAAGUGCAGAACGACGGUCUAUUUUCAGGCUCUACUCCCAUGCAGAGUUCCAGAAUGCACUGCAGGUCUUCGGGGAAGCUCUCCUGCAAAGAAGGAAGCGUGUUACUGAAUGUGAUGAAAUAGUGAAUAAAAAAGAAAGCUGAGAUUCUAGACUUUCAAAAGCUGAUCUCUGAUGAUGUGAAAUCAUCUCUGAAUCUUCAGUUUAAAUGACACACCCAAGGUCAGCCGUCAUCUCUGCGUUCUCAGCACCACGCAGUCUCUUGGGAAUUGUCUUUAAUAUACAAGCUUGGAGCAUUCAUGUCCAUGACAGCUGUUUAAUGUCAGAAGACUUUUUGUUCUGAAGUAGACAGGAUAAGCCCUAGCCAUAGGCUUUUAAUAGUUUUGACAUUUUGAAAUGUGAAUUAACAAUAGUUCACUUAAAAUCCAUGAGCAUUUUAUGUUAAUUAAGUAAAAAUGUAUAGUUCCAACAAAUCUUCGUUCUUACCUAACUCCAGCGGGUCUUAAAUUCAGAUAAUC